GACGAACGCUGGCGGCGUGCUUAACAUAUGCAAGUCGAACGGAAAGGCCUCUUUCGGGGGGUACUCGAGUGGCGAACGGGUGAGUAACACGUGAGUAACCUGCCCUUGACUUUGGGAUAACUUCAGGAAACUGGGGCUAAUACCGGAUAGGAGCUCCUGCUGCAUGGUGGGGGUUGGAAAGUUUCGGCGGUUGGGGAUGGACUCGCGGCUUAUCAGCUUGUUGGUGGGGUAGUGGCUUACCAAGGCUUUGACGGGUAGCCGGCCUGAGAGGGUGACCGGCAACAUUGGGACUGAGAUACGGCCCAGACUCCUACGGGAGGCAGCAGUGGGGAAUAUUGCACAAUGGGUGGAAGCCUGAUGCAGCAACGCCGGGUGCGGGAUGACGGCCUUCGGGUUGUAAACCGCUUUCGCUCAUGACGAAGCUUUGUGUGACGUUAGUGGGUAAAGAAGCACCGGCUAACUACGUG
rnacentral:rRNA from 1 species